UGGAUACACUUUGGGAACUCUCACACCCCACAGGGCUUGACCACUAGUGACAUGACCACUGACCCAACUGCCUUGGCACUCUGCAGCUAGAGUUCAAAUCUAGGGAUUUUGUAGCUUUGUCAGCUUGAGCGAGAUUUAUAACCGCCUCAGUUUAUCCCAAGACCUAGCUUAUGUAAACGUUAACUAUUCCUAAUAGUAUUACACCUUGAGGCCCAUUGGUAGAAAAAGGAUCAGUUCCCUAUUUAAUAAGAGCCUAUCAGGGCAGGUUGUGUAGUGAUGUCCACACCCGACUCUGUCCCUCAGAAGCUGUCCACGUUCUUCUGUGGCAGAUCUGAGGCUUUCUUUUUCUUUUGCCUUGAAAGGAAGAGGAGCACUCCUCACUUAAACUUGGGGAUUUCUAGCCAGGUAUCUGGGUGCUGGGAGACAGAACUGAGGCUCUCACCCUGCCUCUUUCAUUCUUACCGCCUGCUGUAUCCCUUCUUGCCCAGGGAGGACUGGUAGAGAAAGAGGGCUUCUGGGCUCCUGACAGCCCACUUUUGGCUGGGUACCACUCACCCUUUACAUUCCUAUAGUGUCUUCCGAGCUCCACAUCAUGGGCCGGUUUCCUUUGCCUAUUCUGACAUGUUGUGUCCUACAGUGUCCCAUUUGAGGCUCAGAUGCCUUGCUCGGUCCCCUAGGAUCCAGGACUGAUUUAAGGGCAGGAGCCUUUACAGAGAAUAUUACCCUGGACCAGAUUACCACCAUCUUUGUCCCAGCAACAUUUCUCUGUAAGUUUAUUCCCAUCCGUCUGUGUCCGGGAUGCAUUUGGAAAUGUUUAAAAAAAUUUUUUUUUCUUAAUGUUUUUAUUUAUUUUUGAGACAGAGAGAGACAGAGCAUGAGCAGGGAAGGGGCAGAGAGAGAGGGAGACACAGAAUCGGAAGCAGGCUCCAGGCUCCGAGCCAUCAGCACAGAGCCCGAUGCGGGGCUCGAACUCACAGACUGUGAGAUCAUGACCUGAGCCGAAGUUGGACGCUCAACCGACUGAGCCACCCAGGCGCCCCUGGAAAUGUUUUUUAAAAGUUUAUCUGUUGAAGGACCAAGACCGUUUGAUAUGUAGAGCUUCCUGCAGGCUGGAUUUUGCUGAUAUAUUCUCGUUGCAGAUAAAGGCAUGCAGAAAAGUUGAAAAGUUUUGCUGUUCUGAAUGUCCACGUACUCGCCAGUAUGGAUGGAUAGGUGUGACAGAGCCAGUAGAGCAAAAUGUUGACAACUGGGUCGUACGUUAGCAGGAAGAUUCUCAGGUCGGCUUUGGCUCUGCACUGUGAUCUUUUACAGUAGAAACCAAAGCCCCUUCUGGGGACAUGGUUCUUUCAGAACGUGAGUGAUGGUGGAAUCAGGCAGUGCUUAGAAGUGGCACGGCGGCCUUCAGUCACAUUUCAUCGCCCAAGGCAACAAACACAGCCAUGGGACCAGAUUGAGAUGCAGAACACUGCCACUUGUGAGCAUUACAUGUGUGUAAGCCUUCCAGUCCUCCAGUCUCCCCUGAGGAUAACUCUAUCCUGACCCCUAGCAUCACAGAUUACGUUUCCUAUUUGGUUUUUAAUGAAUGUCAUCACAUCGUCCGCACUCUUCCGCGUUUGGCUUCUUUUAUUCAACCUUGUGUCUGGGAUUCGUUUUUGGUGCCGGUUACAUUCCAGGAUGUGGCUGUGGUCUUCACAGAUUCAGAAUGGAAGGCACUGAGCUCUGAGCAGAGGAACCUGCACAAAGAAGUGAUGCUGGAGAAUUACAGGAAUCUGCUCUGUUGGCAGAACCAAAGACAGAAAUCUACCCCCAUGCCUCCUGCCUUCUAGCCGUCUCCUGCCAGCAAUUUCUCAGACAACAUGUGCCUCAGAUCUUUCUGGACUUCUGUAUAGGGCAUCAUUCCCAUCCAGGGGGUCCUGGCCCAGGGCAUCAAGAGCAGCAGUAUUCUGCUCAGAGCUGCUGCACUGGAGACACAGAAGGUCAUGGGAGGCAAGGUGACCUCCCUGGUGUGCGAGGACAGAGGAGACGGAGACUUCGGGCGCACUCCCCAGCCCGCCCCGAGAUCGGUCCGCAAGAACUAGAGAAGGCAACAUGGCGGGUCGAGAGAGGGCGCCCCCUCAGCCCUAGCCCAUGCGCAAACAGACAAAGGAGUGAAAAAAGCCACAAGAUCUGGAGCAGCCAGCUGUACGGAAUGUGAACUAGACCCACUAGAAUGCGAGUAGCCCCAAAUCAGACCUCGUUACAAAGCAGACGGCCCACUUCCAGGAGAAACCCGAUGUUUGCAGGGAGUGCGGGUAAGGCUUUAAAGUGAAGUCAACCCUCAUCAGACACCAUCGGACAUGCUCAGUGGAGAAGCUUUAUGUGUGCGGGGAGUGUGGGCGGAGCUUUAGAAAUAAGUCAGUCCUCAUUGGACAUCAGUGGACUCACUCUGGAGAAGCCUUACCUUUGCCGCGAACUCAUAAGGACAGAGACUGGCCACCGCAGACCACUACGUCACUCACCUCUAAGGGGCUUUCAGAAGUCUUGAUGAGAGGGAAGAUGGCACUCACAACUAGAGACCUGGGUUUUCCACUGUUUGUGGUCAGAUGGAAUAAAAACGUGGAAGGCUUUAUUUAAGUAAUCCAAGAACAGUCUCGUUUAAUUUUCAUACACUGAUUCUUUCCCAGGUCCUCUUGUCCUUUUGUUCUACUGAAAUCUUUGACACACUCAGGCUGUGUGCCUUAGUCUCUGAGCAAUCUGGAAAGGAAUUCAAGUCCACAACCUGGAUUUCCUGCAUGAAUUCAACCCUUGAGAAUAAAGAAGUCCCGAAUCAAUCCAAUAGAUUUGUAGGGAAAUCUGAGCCUUUGCAUGGGAGGACCACCUAGGUUCUGGAGACAUGCCAGCUGAAGGGAGGGCCCUCCCAGGUCUCUGGGGGACAGGUUGCCUCCUCUCCUAACUGGUCUCCUAACUGGAGAUCUCCUCACCAGAUCUCCCUCUGGUUUCUGUGACAGCUCCUUUCUCGGGAACGUUCCCUUCCUUCCUUCUUUCUGGUCUCUCUUCAGGUCCCUGCUGAAUCCUUCUCUACCCUCUGGAAGCACUUAAUGGUUCCUUAAUGGUUUGUUUAUGUCCUCCAGUUUUGGGGAUCCUUUAACCACAUUCCUUCUGUGGCCUUCCAGAUUCCAGGGUCAGGUCCUUUAACCACAUCCAACCUGUUCUCCAGCCAUGAAUCAUUGCUUUGGGUUGCUUAGCUAUUCCCCAUGUCAGUUCAUAUGUCUAAAGACCCCUAAGCAUGGCUUCAAUACUGUGUCCACUCAGCCCUCCAUUCCUCAGAGCCAGUCCUGCUAGUGACCCCACCAUCAUCCCUCUACUCACUGGUCAAAGACAGACAGCCUAGUCAUACACCUGCCCUUGUUUUUCAGCACUGAGAUUUCACAGCAUUUUUCCUAAUGGAAAUGUGCUAUAAUACCAUGCUAUGCUUUUUUUAUUUUCUCCUAAUAUGUAUGAUAUGUAUAAGGGAUAAAAAUCCAUGUUCUCCUUAUGUAAAGAUUAUUUUUGUCUAGCCCUGUAUCCUCGUCACUAAUUUCAAUCUAGAAAUUGUUUUGGAGAAUAGCCAAACACUCAGAAAUGGACCCACAAUGUAUGGCCAACUACUCUUUGACAAAGCAGGAAAGAAUAUCCGAUGGAAUAAAGACACUCUCUUCAGCAAGUGGUGCUGGGAAAACUGGACAGUGACAUGCAGAAAAAUGAACCUGGACCACUUUCUUACACCAGACACAAAAAUAAACUCAAAAUGGAUGAAAGACCUAAACGUAAGACAAGAAGCCAUCAAAAUCCUAGAGGAGAAAGCAGGCAAAAACCUGUUUGACCUUGGCCGCAGCAACUUCUUACUCAACACAUGUCUGGAGGCAAGGGAGACAAAAGCCAAAAUGAACUAUUGGGACUUCAUCAAAAUAAAAAGCUUCUGCAGAGCAAAGGAAACAAUCAGCAAAACUAAAAGGCAACCGACAGAAUGGGAGAAGAUAUUUGCAAAUGACAUGUCAGAUAAAGGGUUAGUAUCCAAAAUCUAUAAAGAACUCAUCAAACUCAACACCCAAAAACCAAACAAUCCAGGGAAGAAAUGGGCAAAAGACAUGAAUAGACACUUCUCCCGACACAUGAAAAGAUGCUCAACGUCACUCAUCAUCAGGGAAAUACAAAUCAAACCACAAUGAGAUACCAUGUCACACCUGUCAGAAUGGCUAACAUUAACAACUCAGGCAACAACAGAUGUUGGCGAGGAUGCAGAGAAAGAGGAUCUCUUUUGCACUGUAGGUGGGAAUGCAAACUGGUGCAGCCACUCUGGAAAACAGUAUGGAGGUUCCUCAAAAAAUUAAAAAUAGAACUACCCUACGACCCAGCAAUUGCACUACUAGGUAUUUAUCCAAACAAUACAGGUGUGCUGUUUUCAAGGGGCACAUGCACCCCAAUGUUUACAGCAGCACUAUCAACAAUAGCCAAAGUAUGGAAAGAGCCCAAAUGUCCAUCAAUGGAUGAAUGGAUAAAGAGGAUGUGGUAUAUAUAUAUACAAUGGAGUAUUACUCAGCAAUCAAAAAGAAUGAAAUCUUGCCAUUUGCAACUACGUGGAUGGAACUGGAGGGUAUUAUGCUAAGUGAAAUUAGUCAGUCAGAUAAAGACAAAUAUCAUAUGACUUCACUCAUAUGAGGACUUUAAGACACAGAACAGAUGAACAUAAGGGAAGGGAAGCAAAAAUAAUAUGAAAACAGGGAGGGGGACAAAACAUAAGAGACUCUUAAACAUGGAGAACAAACAGAGGGUUGUGGGGGCCUAAAUGAGUAAGGGGGCAUUGAGGAAUCUACUUCUGAAAUCAUUGUUGCACUAUAUACUAACUAACUUGGAUGGAAAUUAAAAAGCAAAUAAAUAUUAAAAAAUUUU